rnacentral:rRNA from 1 species
GCUUACGGCCAUACCAGCCUGGGUACGCCCGAUCUCGUCUGAUCUCGGAAGCUAAGCAGGGUCGGGCCUGGUUAGUACUUGGAUGGGAGACCUCCUGGGAAUACCAGGUGCUGUAAGCA